CUCCAUUAUUAUGCCUGUUUUGAAAUUCAAAUGACUAUUGUUUGUUUCCCUGAUUUUUUGCUUGAAAAUAGAAAAUGUGAUAUGUACGUGGUCAUUUGUAUUUAAUAUGACCUUUUCCAAAUCCUAUGCAGAAUUAAUAAGCUACCCACUUCUCCAUAUUGUUUCUGUUUCCAAUACAUCCCUUAUACCUUCAAUUAUGAACUAUAUAUACACUUGAAUACAGACCAUGUCUACCAUCAUCCAAAUCUCCUCUUUCAUAUUCCGAUUUUGCAAUGGCUGGACACAGUUGUUUUUUAUUUCCCUCCUAUUCUCUUCACAAUUUGAAUUUCGAAAUUCAAAUGCAUCUAACUCCAUCUCAGCCGAAUGUUAUUAAUUUUGGUCUGAAUGUUUUAUCAUUUUCAAUGUAUUCCUUUUGGUUAUAAUUAAAACGACCCUUGGCAGAAUCCAUGCAAGAUUGAACAGAUAUCCACACAUGCAAAAUUCUGUUUCCAAAGCACAGUUAUCUACUACCCCAAUGACCCUUACUUUGCUAUAUAAAUGCCAAUCAGACUUUAACUAUCUCCUUCAUAUCCCAAAAAACACGUCCUUAUCUUGCUGAUGUCUGGAAGGAAAAUUGAGACCUUGCUUGCAUACCAUUGUUUGUCUGGUCCUUUGAUGGCUAAUCCUAUUUCUGAGAUGGACAGGGCUAUCAACAAGCUGAGAUUGAAGUAUAGGACUUACAUUGUUGUUAUAGGGUGUUGUGAUGUUGCCAAACAUUUUUGGAGCUGAUUUUGGAGACAAGAUUCAUUGUUUUAUCUUCUUGACUGACCCAAAACACAAUCAAUUCGAAGUUCUUUUUCUCCAAUGGUUUGUUCUUUUUCUCCAAAGUCUGGAAGGCGCUGAAGGAUUUUUACGGGAUUGGAUUGGGUGCAUGGAUCACGUUGGUUUUUGCUGGACUAGGACAGUUUGCAAUUGUCGUGAAGGAUAGGUUUGGGAAGAAUGUUAGGUGUCCUGUCUUUGAACCUCCUAUGAAAUUUUUCAUUGACAAGACAUUUGUUCAACCAACCUUCAAUGAUGUUCUCCCUCCCUUAACUGCUGAUCUUUCUUAUCGUCACAAUGUGAAUAACUUGACAAUUGAUUUUGUGAAAAAAUUGGAUGAAGAGGAUGUGCACAAAGGGUUUUUGUUAUGAAUGUUUUUUCGUUAAAUUAAUGGAGUAUACUAAGAUUUUUUUGUUCAGUGACUAAUAGGAAUUUCUUUUUGUGAUUUUUUUUACUUUAAUAGAUGCUCAAAUAUGAAGGACGCGUUCAGCAGGUUAUUAACAUGGCUGCCACAACCGUGAAACUGGUGGAUGACUAUGAAAAUGAGUGGGACUGUGUUUUGAUGUUUGGAUUGACUCCGUAUGAGCACUGCAAGAUUGGUGGGAGCUGGAAGCGUUUUGUUGAUGCUCACAAAUUUUUUGAAGGUGUGAGGAUUAUGAUUUGCGCCCAGGUGGUUGGAAACAACUCCACUCUCUAUGUUACUGUGAUCGAGAAUUAAGCUGAAGUUGGAGUGAUGGAAGAUGAAGUUCAGUGUUUUGGUGUUCAAGUGUCUUUUUUUUUUAUUUAUUAUUGUUUUCGUUUAAUGAAUGUUUAAUUGGCCUUAUUUUGGGAUGUCUUUGCCUUAAUGAAUGAACAAUGGUAGUGUUUGGGAACAUUUCUUUUUAGUUUAAGUCUGUAUUUUGGUUGGUUGUACGAUUUGAACGAAAAAUCCAAGAUCAAUUCAGUGACGUUUGUUUCUUUAUAA